rnacentral:rRNA from 1 species
UACGUAGGGUGCGAGCGUGGUCCGGAAUUAUUGGGCGUAAAGAGCUUGUAGGCGGUCUGUCGCGUCUGCUGUGAAAAUCCGGGGCUCAACCCCGGACUUGCAGUGGGUACGGGCAGACUAGAGUGUGGUAGGGGAGACUGGAAUUCCUGGUGUAGCGGUGAAAUGCGCAGAUAUCAGGAGGAACACCGAUGGCGAAGGCAGGUCUCUGGGCCACUACUGACGCUGAGAAGCGAAAGCAUGGGGAGCGAACAGG